rnacentral:rRNA from 1 species
CAGUCGCCGCGGUAAUACGGAGGGUGCAAGCGUUAAUCGGAAUUACUGGGCGUAAAGCGCACGCAGGCGGUCUGACAAGUCAGAUGUGAAAUCCCCGGGCUUAACCUGGGAACUGCAUUUGAAACUGUCAGGCUGGAGUCUUGUAGAGGGGGGUGGAAUUCCAGGUGUAGCCGUGAAAUGCGUAGAGAUCUGGAGGAAUACCGGUGGCGAAGGCGGCCCCCUGGACAAAGACUGACGCUCAGGUGCGAAAGCGUGGGGAGCAAACAGGAUUAGAUACCCCGGUAGUCCCGUCUCUUAUACA